UACGUAGGGUGCGAGCGUUAAUCGGAAUUACUGGGCGUAAAGCGUGCGUAGGUGGUUGUUUAAGUCUGUUGUGAAAGCCCUGGGCUCAACCUGGGAACUGCAGUGGAAACUGGACAACUAGAGUGUGGUAGAGGGUAGCGGAAUUCCCGGUGUAGCAGUGAAAUGCGUAGAGAUCGGGAGGAACAUCCAUGGCGAAGGCAGCUACCUGGACCAACACUGACACUGAGGCACGAAAGCGUGGGGAGCAAACAGG
rnacentral:rRNA from 1 species